rnacentral:rRNA from 1 species
CAAGAGUUCAUAUCGACGGCGAGGUUUGGCACCUCGAUGUCGGCUCAUCGCAUCCUGGGGCUGAAGCAGGUCCCAAGGGUCCGGCUGUUCGCCGGUCAAUAUCGGUACGUGAGCUGGGUUCAGAACGUCGUGAGACAGUUCGGUCCCUAUCUGUUGUGGGCGCAGGAUAUUUGAGGGGAGCUGUCCCUAGUACGAGAGGACCGGGACGGACGUACCUCCGGUGUUCCAGUUGUCCUGCCAAGGGCAAUGCUGGGUAGCUGCGUACGGAAGGGAUAACCGCUGAAAGCAUCUAAGUGGGAAGCCCCACCCAAGAUAAGAUAUCCCGUGUCAUAAGAUACAUAAAGGUCACUUGGAGACUACAAGUUUGAUAGGCCGGGUGUGUAAGUCCAGUAAUGGAUUGAGCUUACCGGUACUAAUUGACCGUUCGGCUUGACCAUAACU